GGAGAAGCCCUUCAGCCGUGCUCCUUGUGAUGCAGCAUCGAGGCCAUGUGAGAACUACCCAGACCUUCCAGCUGACAGCCAGGACCUCUCGGUGUCCUGCGGUGGAAUGAAUGAUACAUCACGCUCCUCUGGGCUUCCAAGGGCUUCGUGCAAAGCUGCUGCCGAUCUGAGGGAAGGCUCCCAGUUCACACGCUGCACUUCAGGUUAGAGAUUGCCUUAACGUGGUGUUCUCAGCACGGGUUAGAGACGCCCAUGGAGGCAAUGAAGCCACCAGAGGGCUCGGUGUCGUCACGCAGGCUGCCUGGCCCCCUACUCAGCGCAAUGCAAACCCUUCCUAAGGGACCGAGAGCGCUUCCUCUGCGUCUCCCUUCCUCCGAGGGACAAUACCGGGCAUGGCAGGAAAAGGAAGUCCGCGUGGUUCCCAUUGCACGACGGGUUGCUUGCAAGCAAAGAACAGGGGGAGGCUCUGGCACUUCCAAGGACCCUCUCGCAGCUGGAGCCGCACAGAAGCGGGGCUGCACGAUGUGGGGCGUUAUGCGACCCCAGUGGGCUUCUGCCUGCUGCUGGCCCUGCGUUUCGACGGCACCCCAACGAAUGCGGUUUGACGGGCUGCGAUGCGCCAGAAGGGAAUGAGGAAAGGGACCAACGAGCAGUACUGGGGGUUUUCGCCACUCGGAAGCCGACGGCCAAAACAACUCUGGUUGCAGACAGCCCCACUGUCACCGUCACCACGGCCCUUCAGGGCGUACA
rnacentral:lncRNA from 1 species